rnacentral:rRNA from 1 species
AUUGAACGCUGGCGGCAGGCCUAACACAUGCAAGUCGAACGAGUGGCGGACGGGUGAGUAAUGUCUGGGAAACUGCCUGAUGGAGGGGGAUAACUACUGGAAACGGUAGCUAAUACCGCAUACCAUCGGAUGUGCCCAGAUGGGAUUAGCUAGUAGGUGGGGUAAAGGCUCACCUAGGCGACGAUCCCUAGCUGGUCUGAGAGGAUGACCAGCCACACGGGAGCGGAGACUCGGUCCCGACGCCUACGGGUGGCAGCAGUGGGGAAUAUUGCACAAUGGGCGCAAGCCUGAUGCAGACAGGCCGCGUGUGUGAAGAGGGCCUUCGGGUUGUAAAGCACUUUCAGCGAGGAGGCGUUACUCGCAGAAGAAGCACCGGCUAACUCCGUGCCAGCCGCGGCGAUAAUAC